CAUAUAUAUGAAUCUUAUUUUCUUCUGCAUUCAGCUACCCUAUUUAUUUUUGAUUAGAGCAUUUAAUGCAUUUACAUUUAAAUUUAUUGUUGACUAGAGG